rnacentral:rRNA from 1 species
AGGGUGCUAGCGUUGUUCGGAAUGACUGGGCGUAAAGGGCGCGUAGGCGGCCGGUUGCGUCGGAUGUGAAAGCCCGGGGCUCAACCCCGGAACGGCAUCCGAUACGGGCUGGCUUGAGACCGAGAGAGGUGAGUGGAAUACCCAGUGUAGAGGUGAAAUUCGUAGAUAUUGGGUGGAACACCGGUGGCGAAAGCGGCUCACUGGCUCGGUUCUGACGCUGAGGCGCGAAAGCGUGGGGAGCAAACAGG